rnacentral:rRNA from 1 species
CUUGUAGUACUGGGACUCUAACCAUAGGCCAUGAAUCUGGUCUUGGGACACUGUCAGGUGGGCAGUUUGACUGGGGCGGUCGCCUCCCAAAAGGGAACGGAGGCGCUCAAAGGUUCUCUCAGUACGGUCGGAAAUCGUACGUAGAGUGUAAAGGCAAAAGAGAGCUUGAUUGCAAGACAUACAGGUCGAGCAAGGAUGAAAAUCGGACUUAGUGAUCCGGUGGUUCUGCGUGGAAGGGCCAUCGCUCAACGGAUAAAAGCUACCCUGGGGAU